rnacentral:lncRNA from 1 species
UGGCAGCUCCUGCUUUUGUUGUCGUGUCGCUUGCCCGUGACGCAAUUGAUACCUAUAGGCUUGCUUUCCAUUGUGUGACCGUGCCGUGAGGUUUCUUGUGGUUCUUCGGUUUUUUCUGUCCGUCCUACCGGCCAGCUGCGUUUGGUCUGUUGGGAUAGUCUUUCUCUGUUUCGUCUUUGGCUUUUUUUCUUCUUUCGACCUCGGUCGCAUGUACAUAUACUUGGUUUUCCCCUUCUAAUAUUGCAUGGCAGAGCUACUGCCCUUCACGGCAAAAAAAAUAAAAAUACGUAGUAUUGCCUGGGCUUUCAGCCUUUCAGGUGGUUACUACUCCCUCCGUUCCUAAAUACUUGUCGCGAUCCGUUCCUAAAUACUUGU